CUUGGUGAUUUUAGCGAGGUUGUCCCACCCGUUACCAUCUCGAACACGGAAGUGAAACGCCUCAGCGCUGACGAUACUGUUACGGCAACGUUUUGGGAAAAUAAGUCAUUGCCAGGG
rnacentral:rRNA from 1 species